rnacentral:rRNA from 1 species
ACGUGAGGGGCAAACGUUGUUCGGUGUCACUGGGCUUAAAGGGCGCGUAGGUGGCUGCGUAAGUAAGGUGUGAAAUCCCCCGGCUUACCCGGGGAACUGCGCCUUAUACUGCGUGGCUUGAGGAUCACAGGGGAAGGGGGAACUCCAGGUGUAGCGGUGAAAUGCGCAGAUAUCUGGGGGAAGGCCGGCGGCGAAGGCGCCCUUCUGGGUGAUUCCUGACACUGAGGCGCGAAAGCGUGGGGAGCAAACAG